CCUACGGGUGGCAGCAGUGAGGAAUAUUGGUCAAUGGACGAGAGUCUGAACCAGCCAAGUAGCGUGAAGGAUGACUGCCCUAUGGGUUGUAAACUUCUUUUAUAUGGGAAUAAAAUGUUCCACGUGUGGGAUUUUGUAUGUACCAUAUGAAUAAGGAUCGGCUAACUCCGUGCCAGCAGCCGCGGUAAUACGGAGGAUCCGGGCUUUAUCCGGAUUUAUUGGGUUUAAAGGGAGCGUAGGUGGAUUGUUAAGUCAGUUGUGAAAGUUUGCGGCUCAACCGUAAAAUUGCAGUUGAAGCUGGCAGUCGUGAGUACAGUAGAGGUGAGCGGAAUUCGUGGUGUAGCGGUGAAAUGCUCAGAUAUCACGAAGAACUCCGAUUGCGAAGGCAGCUCACUGGACUGCAACUGACACUGAGGCUCGAAAGUGUGGGUAUCAAACAGGAUUAGAUACCCGAGUAGUC
rnacentral:rRNA from 1 species